rnacentral:piRNA from 1 species
UGGGGACCAUAGUCCUACUUGAUGCCUCUCU